UGAUCACACCUGGUUUAGUGAUGGCAGUUC
rnacentral:piRNA from 1 species